GCGAAUGGUUAUUAGGCGCAGUUUUUUGGCUCUGCGGUUCCAUUUAGACGGGAUACAUAUAUCCAUGAGAAGCAAAAGACAUGAGACAUGUAGUCAACCAAAACAAGUGGAGUGCAUGCAAAAAUAGCGAGGCAUCUAAAGCAUCAGUCGUGUGCUUUUUUCAGUUACCACCACGUGAUUGAACUAAUGAGGAUGAAGAAGUUCAAUUAUGUGGAGCAUCUAAGAUUUUUCAAGGACCAGCAACACAUUGGUUCUGAACCAGGAUAGACAGUUUAUCGAAAGACCGUACCAGGAAUGGUUCAGUUUUUUUAUUCUGUCUUUAUCUAAAAUUUAUACAUUUUUAAAUCUCACGGUUCAAUUUAAGUCAUUAA